rnacentral:rRNA from 1 species
UACGAAGGGGGCUAGCGUUGCUCGGAAUGACUGGGCGUAAAGGGCGCGUAGGCGGAUGGCACAGUCAGAUGUGAAAUUCCCGGGCUUAACCUGGGGGCUGCAUUUGAUACGUGCGGACUUGAGUGCGGAAGAGGGUCGUGGAAUUCCCAGUGUAGAGGUGAAAUUCGUAGAUAUUGGGAAGAACACCGGUGGCGAAGGCGGCGACCUGGUCCGAUACUGACGCUGAGGCGCGAAAGCGUGGGGAGCAAACAGG